UGUGUCAGGAACUGGUCACUAGAUCUCUUCAACUAUUUGCUAAUAUUCAAAAAUAUGCAAAUAAGUCAAAACCUGUUCUCGUUUUACCAUUUUCACAAGUUUAAUUGGUCUUCCCUGGGUUCAUUACAAAGCUGAGGGUGAAAUUGAGGGCUUACCUUAUUUUAUUUUAUUAGGGUAUAGAUUUCCAGGGAGGAAGAAUGAAAAACAGGAAGAGUCAAGAAAGGAAGUUGAAAAGAGCCUGCGUUAUAGAGACGGCUGCUGCUGGGGAGACCGAUUACUUAAUCAUGGACUGAAGCCUUUGGAAGCCAUAUAAGCUACAACCCAGGACUGAUGAGGCUGGGUGUAGCAAGAAAGAGGAAAUCAUGCAACUACUGGCUCCCAUCACCAAUGGCCCAAAGGCCAGAUUCCAGAGGACGGUUACUGGGAAAAGUGGACAGAGUUGAUCUUCUCAUGGUUGUCUGAUCUCUCACGCCCAAUAAUGAAGAAAAUGGAGGGAAAUGGAUGGUGACCUCAGACUCAAUCUUUCCUUCUCACUUCUUCAAUAGGUGGAGUGUCCUGACUUUCCAGAGGCCCAUGUAAGUAUUUAUGGACUCCAUCUAGUUGUCAGGUGCUGGGUCAGAGCUGAAGAUGCAGAGUGAAGGUGACAUACAUAGAGUCUGGCAUGGGAGAGCAGACUCUAAAUGACACCAGGACCUGAACUGUCUGGAAGAGCAUGUAAUGAAGAGGAGAAGUGGAGAACUGGGCAGGAGUGCUUCAGGCAGAGGGGAGAGCAAGUGUAAAGGGCCACAGGUGAGAGGGGACACAGCAGGUGCAAGUGACCGACACUGCUACAUUUUACCUGAAUCCUCUGCUCCUGGGCAACAGCGAAGGUUCAGUAAUCCCUUAGUCUUUUGUGUUCAGAACAGUCUGCUACAAGGAACUUCCCUUCUCCAUAGGACAUAGAGAAGACUCAAGGAUGACCCGUGACAAAGCUAGGCAUAGACACAGGCCCUCCAAAUUCUUAUGCUUUGCCUUAUAAAUGAUUAGCUGAACUGUUUGUCCUCACCCACCAGUUGUAACAAAAUGUCUGUUAAUCAAACCUGAAGAUUUUCUCUCCUUUCCCCAGGUCCCUGUACUUUGGUCCUUCUUCAGCCCAAGCCAGCAUGCAGACCUUCUUCAACAGCAGCUCCUGAGAAGAGGCCACUUCUGAAACCACUGUCACAUCAUCCCACACUCUUCCAUCCUACUUCUGAGUCACACUAGGCUCUUUCUAACCUUGCUCACCC
rnacentral:lncRNA from 1 species